CCUACGGGGGGCAGCAGUGGGGAAUAUUGCACAAUGGGGGAAACCCUGAUGCAGCGACGCCGCGUGAGUGAAGAAGGAUUUCGGUAUGUAAAGCUCUAUCAGUAGGGAAGAAAAUGACGGUAUCUGAGUAAGAAGCACCGGCUAACUACGUGCCAGCAGCCGCGGUAAUACGUAGGGGGCAAGCGUUAUCCGGAUUUACUGGGUGUAAAGGGAGCGUAGGCGGGGGUGUAAGUCUGAUGUGAAAGCCUGGGGCUUAACCCCCGGACUGCAUUGGAAACUGUACGGCUGGAGUGCAGGAGAGGUAAGUGGAAUUCUUAGUGUAGCGGUAAAAUGCGUAGAUAUUAAGAGGAACACUAAUGGCGAAGGCGGCUUACUGGACUGUAACUGACGUUGAGGCUCGAAAGCGUGGGGAGCAAACAGGAUUAGAUACCCUAGUAGUC
rnacentral:rRNA from 1 species